GACGAACGCUGGCGGCGUGCUUAACACAUGCAAGUCGAACGGAAAGGCCCUGCUUUUGUGGGGUGCUCGAGUGGCGAACGGGUGAGUAACACGUGAGUAACCUGCCCUUGACUUUGGGAUAACUUCAGGAAACUGGGGCUAAUACCGGAUAGGAGCUCCUGCUGCAUGGUGGGGGUUGGAAAGUUUCGGCGGUUGGGGAUGGACUCGCGGCUUAUCAGCUUGUUGGUGGGGUAGUGGCUUACCAAGGCCUUGACGGGUAGCCGGCCUGAGAGGGUGACCGGCCACAUUGGGACUGAGAUACGGCCCAGACUCCUACGGGAGGCAGCAGGGGGGAAUAUUGCACAAUGGGCGGAAGCCUGAUGCAGCAACGCCGGGUGCGGGAUGACGGCCUUCGGGUUGUAAACCGCUUUCGCCUGUGACGAAGCGUGAGUGACGGUAAUGGGUAAAGAAGCACCGGCUAACUACGUG
rnacentral:rRNA from 1 species